UACGUAGGGGGCAAGCGUUGUCCGUAUUUAUUGGGCGUAAAGAGCGUGUAGGCGGCUUGGUAGGUCCGCUGUGAAAACUCGAGGCUCAACCUCGAGAUGUCGGCGGAAACCACUUGGCUAGAGUCCGGAAGAGGAGAGUGGAAUUCCCGGUGUAGCGGUGAAAUGCGCAGAUAUCGGGAAGAACACCUAUGGCGAAGGCAGCUCUCUGGGACGGUACUGACGCUGAGACGCGAAAGCGUGGGGAGCGAACAGG
rnacentral:rRNA from 1 species